CAUAUAACCUUAUAUUUUUCUAUAUGCAUACAUAUAAAUACUAUACGAUAAUAACGAACAAUAGACGCCAUAACAAAUACAACAAAUUUAUCAAAUGAAAACAAAACAAAACGCAAACAAAACAUGAAACAAUAUGGAAGCGAGCAAAAAUAAGCAGAUGUAGCCUGCCAGUCCAUCCAUCCGUUAGUCGUCCGCACAAUCCGUUCCGGCUGCUACCAAUGUCCACAAUAGCCACGUACGUACAGGGUGUUGGCACAGGAUGGGCAUGAUACUGAUACUAGUAUGAUACGAUUACCGCUAUUUCAGUCGACACCUCCCGCAUGCAUCUGCUCAUGCGCCAAUUGUUUUGUCUAGCGUUUUCAGUUAUUUUGUUUUGCUGUUAAAAGGCAAACAAAAGCUCGGCUGUCGGACAAUGGAAAUGUUUUGAAUUUCAAAUUAAAACAAAAAAUGCAUUUCAAAACAAUGUAAAGUCUAUAUACAUAUACAUAUAUGUAUUUAUGUAUAUACUAUAGGUGUGUAUUUAUUUUUGGUGAAAUUAAUGUUGAAUCUUUGGUGAAUGGGGAAAAAAAUAUUGCACAAUUUUAUGCAACAACUACCGUUAUAAAAAAGCGCAAAUAAUCACAGCAGUAGUGUAAAGAUAAUGGUUGUUUUAGUUAGCCAAACAAUAACAACAAUAUGCGGCAUUUUCAUAAUUAAAAAGCACCAAAAAUUUCGAGUUAAAAGGUGAUUUGACUCUGAGCGCGUCAAAUAUGUAAAUAAAGAACGCACCUAAAAAAAUUUUAACAUUUAGCGGAAGUCAUGAUUCUGUCGUCAGAGUGCUUUAACGCUUGCUAGUUUUGUAGGCUAUCAUUUUCGUGAAAGGUCUCUGGUUAUGGUGGCUUGAUUAUUGUCUUUAUAUAUUGUCUAUAAUUAUAUUAUGAAACCAUGAAUUCAGGUCUAUAUAACCGGAACGUACUCGAAUUUACGUAUAUACUUUCCAAAGCUAUACAAUAAUAUGGGAGAUAUUUUAUGAUGCGACAACAACAAUAAUAAUAUUUUAUCAAAACAACCACAUUUUAUUUUCAAGAAUUAGUUGAGACUUGGUGUUAAUGAUUUAUUUAAAGCUUAAAAUCCCCUUCCCUAUGACAGAUAUGGUUUUAGGUGGAUGUACUCUUCAUUUGCGGAGAACUUUCUAUUUACUUUCAAUAUUUUUAUACUCUCGCAACAAAUGUUGCUAAAGAGAGUAUUAUAGUUUUGUUCACAUAACGGUUGUUUGUAAGUCAUAAAACUAAACGAGCUAGAUAUAGGGUUAUGUAUAUCAAAAUGAUCAGGAUGACGAGACGAGUUGAAAUCCGGAUGUCUGUCUGUCCGUGCAACGGAUAACUUGAGUAAAAAUUUAGAUAUUUUAACGAAACUUAGAACACGUUCUUUGGCACCCUGAGGAGGUUGCUUUCGAAAAUGGGCAAAAUCGGACCAUUGCCACGCCCACAAAAUGGCGAAAACCAAAAACCUAUAAAGUGUAAUAACUAAGCCAUAAAUAAAGUUAUAAAAAUUUGGAAUAAAGGAUCGCACUAGGAGGGGCAUAUUUGGAAGUUAUUUUUUUGGGGGAAGUGGGCGUGGCCCCGCCCCCCAAAUCGGUUAUUUGUAUAUAUCUCGCAAACCAAUAAAACUAUAUAAACCAAACUUUCUGCAGUCGGUUCUCCUACGUACCCCACCACACACCAUGAAAAUAGUUGAAAUCGGAUAAUAACCACACCCACCUCCCAUACAAAGGUUAUGUUGAAAAUUACUUAAAGUGAGUUAGCUCACUAACGAAAAAUUUCAGAAACACUAAAUUUCACAGAAAUAAUAGCAGAAAGUAGCUGCACUGAGAUUUUUUUACAAAAUGGAAAAUGGGCGUGACAUCGCCUACUUAUGGGUCAAAAACCAUAUCUCAGGAACUACUCGACAGAUUUCAAUGAAAUUCGGUAUAUAAUAUUUUCUUGACACCCUUAUGACACGUGUGAAAAAUGGACGUGUGAGAAAUGGAUCGGUUCACAACCUCGACAACUUCCCAUAUAACUCAUUUUUGAAUUUCAUCUUAUUCCUUCACUUUAUAACAUAUACAUAAGGAACCAAUGAAGAUAGCGAAAUAAAACUUUACACAAAUACUGUAUAUGAUCUGUGGCAUCACUUGUGAAAAAAUUGUCGAAGUCGGACUAUAACUUUUCAAUGCCCCGGAUAUCGAAAAUGAAGAACACAGUGCCCCAUGGUAACUUUUCACCGAAAAUUUCGGUAAAUCUCUCAGUUAUCUUAAUUUAAUUCAGAGGAAAUAUUUUUCUUCUAAUAGUGUGUCUCUGUACCAGAAUAGGUUAAAAUCGGGUCAUAACUUCCCUUAUAUAUGAAUAUAUGAGAAUACCUAAUUAUAUUUUCAAAAAUACGAUGAGCUUAUUAUCUUAUAAAUCGGUUAAUAUGUGAAAUAUAUUUAUGCCGAAUAUAUGGGUCAAAUUGUGUGUUUUCUUAAUAAAAAUAUAGCAAUAAAUUGCGAGAGUAUAAAAUGUUCGGUUGCACCCGAACUUAGCCUUUCCUUACUUGUUUGGACUAAGAAUUUGCUAAAUUAUAUUUCUGGAUAUUUUUUACAAUUAUAGAAAUUAUUUACUGUAAAACAUGACUUAAAACUAUGUUUUUUUUCUUAAUUACCUACGUAUAUAAAUAUAAUGGCGUUCAUACUCAUACGACUGGUUUUGCUGUGACACUUUGUAUAUUUGGAAGUAGAUCUUAUUUUCAACUUUUCUUGCAUUUUCGUUGCUUUCAGUCUGACUUUUACACUUCUUCAUCCAAAAAUUCUCUAACAAAUACAAACGUUUUUUACACCGUUAUACUUUAAUUAACCAUUACUUCCGCUCAAACUAUUCAUAUACCAUUUAAAAAGUGGAUAAGAGCGCAUUUUCCCAUAUCAGGAAUGUCAUGUAAUUUACACCAUGACCAGCGUCGCCUCAGCCAGCCACCCAGCCAGCAGCUGCCAUUGGCGCCCCCACACGCAGCAUACAUUUCGGAGGAUUGAAAUGAUUCUGCGCGCAAACGUUUAAUUUAAAUUUUUAAUUUCGAUUUUAAUCUCUUAAUGCGAAAUAAAAUUGCCGCUGCGCGCUGCAUGGUUGGUGGUAGUGGUGUCGGCGCGGCAUGACACUGUUCGCUAAAUUCUCAUUCGCACAGUGUUGCUUCCAAACUUCGUAACUCUGGUGCACAUACUUACGAUAUGCGAUAUACGUCGGUACGCUUGUGGAGGUCUAACAACUUGUGCAGAUUUAAACGAAUGAAAACGCGUUGCGUAAGACGGUAUGGGGUCGCAAGAGCACGUCAGAGCAAAGGAGGCGGUAUAAAUUGUGUAUUUUUCUCAGUAUUUGUCGUUUUAAAGGAGAACCAGCCGCACAUUGUAGCUGACGCGAAAAUUGCGCUGUGAAUGUUAUAGUAAAGGAAUGGCGUCCAUUACUUGUUCUCGUACAACUGUAAUUUCCAAUUACAUUUGCCACAUAUUUGCCACAUUUUUUCAACAAGAAAGAGAAAUGAAAAUAUUCCGACUUCUGUCAUGGAAUGUAAGCUGCGAGCGCAUUUUAUAGUAUAGGCAUUUUCUUGGUAUUUUUGAUUUUGAGAAUUCAGGAAAAAAGUAAAAUUCUUGCGAAACUAGUUACGUUCAAUAAUUUUUUUUUAUAAUAUAUCGCAUCAUAUAUCGCAAUCAGAAAUCCAUACAUUUACAUUAGGAACUAUUUUCUAUUUUCCGGGCACUAACAAUGCUAGAAAUAGUCUUUUAAGCGUUAAUGAGCUGUUAUCGAUAGUAUGAUUUUUCCAGAAGUCGCUGUUAAAAUGUAUAAUUUUAGAUUUUUUUGUUCGAUUCUACUUCUCGACACCCAAUAUCAAGCUUCUAUAUAUAUUUAUUCUACCUUAAAAAAUAUAAAAUCUUGAAAACCAAAUACUUUGUUGAAAGCAAUGUAAAUGUUUCUAGGAACUGCAUGGAACAGUGCGAUCUAUAGUUGCUUUUUAAUCUCAUAGCAUCGUUUGGGAACGAAUUUCGUCGAUAAUAUAAAAUAAAGAUACGAUAUCACUGCAAGUGAUGUUAUUACGGUGAUCUAACCCUACUUAAGUCGAUUGGAGAAGCCGCUAUAAUAGCGACAGAGAUUUCGUUAUAGCUAUAUUAUGCUCUUGUCAGAUAAUUCUUGAAAAGUAGAGUUACCAAAUCUUGGAUACUGAAAUAAAAAAAAAUAUCGAUAACAAAUUUCUUAUGAUUAUCGAUAUUUUUGGCGAUACAAAUAUAUAAAUAAUCGAUAAUAAAGAUUUUUAACUUUUAUCGUUUUUUUUCGGUCAAACUAAAUCAAAAUCACUUUAUUUUACGCCAAUUAAAACGUGAAUACCAAGUAAUCGUAUGCUUUAUAUUGCGUUCUUGUUUUGCAAGUUAUGUUGAAUAACCGAUAAUUCCUACUAACCGAUAAUUCCUACAGUUUUUUAACGUAACAAAAUAACAAAAACAAAUGUAUAUAACGUCUACUUUUUAUUGUGUGUGUUGUUGAUACAUAGAAAAGUGUACAAACAUAUGUUAUGCUCCGAUUAUAUAUAAAAGAAAGUGCGAGUGCGUAAAUAUUUGUUCCCAACUGAUAUGAAAGAACGUGUUCCCUUAUCGCGAAUGUAAUGCUAUAGAGCUGAGCGCAAAAGCGCUAUUGAAGUGCUUAACAAUUGAUAAGACGACAUAUAUCGCAAUUAAUUUGCGCGCGUCAUUCCAGAAACAUUCCUAAUUUGGAUUACUAUUAAUUGGGCGAAUGUUUGGCGCAGCUGUUGUAUAAAAGAGUAUAGCAUCGUGUUAUCGUGCACCAGUCAUUCAACACAUGUUGAUUUAAUCACAUUGUAAAGGAAAGUUUCUAAAAAAAAAUAAGUACAAAAUGGUCUGCCAGCAGUGUGUUAGCGCAUCGAAUUGUAACAUUUGCAAAAAUUGUGUCAAGUGUUGUUGUAAACAGAGUUGCAAUCGUUGCUGCAACCAGAGCGAAAAGCCUUGCUGUACUUCUGGCACCAGGAAGACAUGCUGCGCCAGCAAGAAGUGAUGGAUCUUCAUUUAAACGGAGUUAAAUUAAGUUAAAUGAUCAAUUUAUUUAUAAUUUUUGGAAAGUUUCUGUAUUGUGAAUUAAUUUAAGCUAAAAAUAAAUGUCUUGAAUAUUGUAUUUAUUUAUUAAAAA